UCUCUCUUUCUCUCUCUCUCUCUCUCUGUCUCUCUCUCUCUGUCUCUUUUGUCUCUCCUCUCUCUGUCUCUCUCUCUUGCUCUCUCUCUCUCUCUGUCUCUCUCUCUCUCGCUUCUCUCUCUCUCUCUCUUCUCUCUCUCUCUCCUGUCUCUCUCUACUCUCUCUCUCUCUCUCUCUCUCUCUGUCUCUCGUCUCUCUCUCUUCUCUUUCGCUCUCUCUCUCUCUCUCUCUCUUCGCUCUCUCUCUCUUCUCUCCUCUCUGUCUCUUACUCUCUUCUCUAUCUCUGCUCUCUCUCUCUCUCUCUCUCUCUCUCUCUCUCUCUCUCUCUCUCUCUCUCUUACCCUAUUUUUCAGCAUCAAAUGCUCUGCCUCUCAUUUAGUCCCUGUUGCUGUGACAACCACAGGCAUGAGCACAGCAGGCGUUCAUCGAGGCUUCCUCAGAAAAUAUGGGGGCUUCAUGUUUAAGCAGUGGAAGGAGAAGUACCUUGUUCUGACCCUGGAGGGAAGCCUGUUGGUGUGCCGCGAUGCAGAGUCCCCUCCAGACCAGGUGGUAGCAUUACAAACCAACUGUGAGUCGAUUGUAGAGGGACGCGAAAUCCUUGACCUGCCCAAGUUGCCUCCAGGGGGCAGGAGGGACUGCUGCUUCGCCCUCAUCCUGCCGCAGAACAAGUUCCUGCUGCUUCUUACUGACAACCCUGAUGACUGCAAUCUGUGGCUGAAUAUGAUCAGGAAAGUGAGAGAGGGUGUCAUGUCACCCCUGACCCUUCACAGACAGCGCAGCAUCACUCCCUGCAUCACCGACAGAGACCCCCUGCCAGACUCCUCCAGCGAUAAAGACCCCGGCUCACCCAGGGUUGGUGAGGGCACCCCUCCUUUGUCUCGAGUCACUGAGCGGGGAGGCUCUUUCAGAGACAGAGGCCAAAACCAAGCCAGUGGACCACGGCAGCCUCUGCGCAGUGUCUCUGUUGCCCCCCCUCAUCGUGCGUCAGAUUGUCUUCGCCAUGGCAACAGCAGCGAUGCCCGGGCGGUGAGGGCGGUGUGCCUGCUGAUGGGAGGGGCAGCGGCCUCCUCUGCUCUGGGCUACCUAAACUCCUGCGCCCCUUCCUCCCCCCUCGCUACCAGAGCCCCAGAGAUCGCCCACGGCACAGGGGGCUUCUCCGAGCUCCCCGGAGGGGGAUCCUUCCACGCCUGCAGCCAGGACGUGGACUCCCCUCACUUCAACAGCUUCGACUUUGAGGGAGACUCCGACUUUGAUGCUUUUGACUGUGGAGGAUUUGCUUUUUAGCUUUGACCAGAAAGACAACAGUUUGAAAGACCUUUUCUUGUCAUCAAAAUCCGUGUGUUGGUAUUCCUUUAUAGUAGAAGGGCAUUGUUAUUAAUUAAUCACUUGUUUGAUAUCUAUGAGUUUAAUUUAUAAAUUAAUGAAGGUGUUCUUCCUGGCUUCAUGCCCAUGCUCCUCAGGUAAAUCAUUCAUGAUGAAUCCUCUGAACACUGCCCGUCUGUGUUGUUUCAGUCCUUCCAUACCACAGGACGGCCUUAGGUUAACUGAGUGAGCAGUGUAAUGAGCCACAUGGACAUUGUAGUCUUUAAACAGUUGUGUUUCUCCACUCUUUGUCUUAUCGCUGUAUUUAUUUUAUACUUUUUUAACUAUUUGACCUAUGUGAAUAUUUUUGCCUCAUCCACAUUCUCUCCAUUUCAUUGUCACUUUGCUCAAUUUCCUUGUGCCCUGCUUUCAGAAUCCCCGCCCAUCUGCACACACUAGUAUGAUCUCGCAUGAAAUGCAGUCCAAAGGUGAACUCCAAAUAAAUCCUGCUGUACCCAUGGUCGUGCGUCUUUCUCUUUACAUCCAUCUGCUGUUUGCUGGCUGGCUUGCAGCGGCACUGCAGACAGCAAGCCAAGAGGGGAAUAUGCAGAGCCUGAAUUGCCGUGUGUGAUUAUCUGAGAUUUUGUCGCACAGCAAAAAUAAUCUCUUGGGUUUAUGGAUCAUGUGCUGAAUGUGGAUUUGUGUUUGUGAUUGUGCAUGUGCUCUCAUUGACUAAAACACAUAAAAACAGUUACACCUCAGUUCACCUCUUGCAAAAUGCCUUGCUGCUACCAACUUCCUGUAAGAUAUAAGCAAAAACAUAACACACAUUCAAAGCUAGAGACUAAAGAUGGUUUGUUCUAUGUGCUGCCGCUCUGUUGGCCAGUUCCCCAUCAAAGGGCUUUGUUUUUGUUUCCACAGUCCACAUUGUCAGGUUUGACGAUCAGUAAUGGUCAACAUACUGUUGCUGCAGAUGCAAUGUUUCACAGUGACAACACUAAGAGAUUAUGGGAGAGAUGCAACGGGGUGGAAGAGUGGAUCUAGGAGAAGAUUAAACAAAUAGGUACAUUCAAUGUGUUUUCAGCUGUUGUGAAUCCACAUAUUUCACACUGAUUUGAUGUGAAAUGACCAAUUCCAAUCAACCUAAACACCCUCAACAGGAACAGCUCAAACAUCUUUA
ensembl:lncRNA uncharacterized LOC115017918